AAAAUCCAGCGCAAAGAUUAGCUCAACCAAUGAUAGUAACUCGAAAGUCUUGUCCUUGGAGAAACCAAAAUCUCCGAGAGCUCCAGUCAUCGUGUCUUAUUUUCCCGCAGGUUCGAAUCUUUCGCGUUUGUAAGAGAAGAUAUAAGAUCAAGUGUGGGACGGGUGUUGACUUUUUUGUUUUAUGUUGACAUAUAAUGUAAAGACUUUAUGUGUUGGUUUGAUUAUAUGUAAAUUGUAC
rnacentral:lncRNA from 1 species